UUUGCUUACAAUUUACAAACGAAAUAGCCGAAAUGACGCCCCCACUUUAAGCCAGUUUAAUUCUUCCGUUUUGAAAAAGUACUAACGUGCUUAUGUAUAUUUUUAAUGAAAUGGUAAAAUUAGUAUACGUUAAUGAAAUAGCAAUAACCAAAUAACGCUUGAUAUGGACACGUUUUGGGGAUUGGACACGUUUGGGGGUUAGUUGAGAAAUGGACACGUUUGGGCGUUUAUACAAAUGACACGCUUUGGCGCAGUUUUCAACUAGACAUGUUUGGGGGAAUCGGACACGUUUGGGGGGAAGGACACGUUUCUGAGUGUUACAUAUAUUUUCCUACUGAGAGCAAAAAGGGAAAUGAGAUGUGCCAAUGCUAAAACAAACCCAUGCCAUAAAUCAUUCACUAACUUUUAG
rnacentral:lncRNA from 1 species